rnacentral:rRNA from 1 species
AGUGUAGGUGGCUCAUUAAGUCACAUGUGAAAUCCCCGGGCUUAACCUGGGAACUGCAUGUGAUACUGGUGGUGCUAGAAUAUGUGAGAGGGAAGUAGAAUUCCAGGUGUAGCGGUGAAAUGCGUAGAGAUCUGGAGGAAUACCGAUGGCGAAGGCAGCUUCCUGGCAUAAUAUUGACACUGAGAUUCGAAAAGCGUGGGUAGCAAACA